UACAGAGGUCUCAAGCGUUGUUCGGAUUCAUUGGGCGUAAAGGGUGCGCAGGCGGCGCGGUAAGUCGGGUGUGAAAUUUCGGAGCUUAACUCCGAAACUGCAUUCGAUACUGCCGUGCUUGAGGACUGGAGAGGAGACUGGAAUUUACGGUGUAGCAGUGAAAUGCGUAGAUAUCGUAAGGAAGACCAGUGGCGAAGGCGGGUCUCUGGACAGUUCCUGACGCUGAGGCACGAAGGCCAGGGGAGCAAACGGG
rnacentral:rRNA from 1 species